CCAAUAGCGUAUAUUAAAGUUGCUGCAGUUAAAAAGCUCGUAGUUGAAUUUCGGAAUCAAUAUGUUGGUCGUGCCUUGGUACGUACUAGUUUAUUGGUUUCUUCCUUCUGACGAACCAUGAUGUCAUUAAUUUGGUGUCUUGGGGAAUCAGGACUGUUACUUUGAAAAAAUUAGAGUGUUUAAAGCAGGCUCACGCUUGAAUACAUUAGCAUGGAAUAAUGAAAUAGGACGUUUGAUUCUAUUUUGUUGGUUUCUAGGAUCGACGUAAUGAUUAAUAGGGAUAGUUGGGGGCAUUAGUAUUCAAUUGUCAGAGGUGAAAUUCUUGGAUUUAUUGAAGACUAACUACUGCGAAAGCAUUUGCCAAGGAUGUUUUCAUUAAUCAAGAACGAAAGUUAGGGGAUCGAAGACGAUCAGAUACCGUCGUAGUCUUAACCAUAAACUAUGCCGACUAGGGAUCGGAUGAUGUUAAUUUUUUAAUGACUCAUUCGGCGCCUUACG
rnacentral:rRNA from 1 species